UACGAAGGGGGCUAGCGUUGCUCGGAAUCACUGGGCGUAAAGGGCGCGUAGGCGGACUCUUAAGUCGGGGGUGAAAGCCCAGGGCUCAACCCUGGAAUUGCCUUCGAUACUGAGAGUCUUGAGUUCGGAAGAGGUUGGUGGAACUGCGAGUGUAGAGGUGAAAUUCGUAGAUAUUCGCAAGAACACCAGUGGCGAAGGCGGCUCACUGGCCCGGUACUGACGCUGAGGUGCGAAAGCGUGGGGAGCAAACAGG
rnacentral:rRNA from 1 species